GUUGGUUGAUAUAAUCCAAAAUUGACUUUGUUCGGCAUAGAUGUUUCUCUAAUUUAGAUAAAUAACUUGCAACUGGAUAUGUUAUUGGUAUAAUAGUUAUUAUUUGAUUUGUGUUUUAAGAGAUCUUCUUGAGACUACCGUGAAGCAUGACAACAAGAAACAAAAGUGAAAGAGGAAGCAAAAGAGCGGUUAUAACUAUCAUUUUUUAUAGUGGCGAGAAAUAUGUUUGUAAAAUAUAUUUGUAAAAUAUGUUUGUAAAAAUAUGUUUGUAAGUAAAAUAUUUAAAAGGUUCAUAUGUACAAUAUGAAAAAAAAUGACAAUUUAUAUUUAUUGAUAAACAGUUAUUAUUUGAUUUGUAAGAAAAUAAUAUAUUAUAUAAAAUGACAUGUAAGAAAAUAAUAUAUAAAAAUUUAAAAUAUUUUUCAG
rnacentral:lncRNA from 1 species